UCUGCACUCAACUCUUUUGCAGUGGCUAAAUUGGGACCCUGGACAGUUUUUGAGAAGAUGCUUGCACUAAAGCACCAGCUUCAGUUAUGUGGCAAAAUUCAUCUGCUGAGCUUGCACCAGGUUAAACCUGUCACAGAUUUGGGGGUCAUUUGUUUGAAUGGAGUGGUGUAAUUCCAAGAAUAGGAUGGGCUUCUGUUUAGUACAGAUGCAACGUCAAAGAUGUUUUUCCCUUAAAGGUGUCAGGAUGGGACAACCUGAUUGAAAAGACCAGUGCUUUCAGCUCAAGGUAGAAGCUAAGGGAUUAUCACUGAUGUCAACAUCACACUGAGUGACGAUCCAUAAGUCAACAUUAUUGAUGCAGUCUGGAUGUUGUGAACCAGCUAUUGCCAUUUGAGUUGGGAUGCAUCAACUUGCUAUUUAGCAGGUGUUCAAAGGCAUCUGUAUGCUUGAGAAAUUCAACCAGUAUGAAGCUUUCUAAGAGUAUUCCCAAGUAAAGAUCUCUGCUGUUCAAUCUGCAGCACCUACCAUGAUUGAUGAAGACAAAUCUGUAAUUUGUGGCCCAUGCUGUUAACACAAAUAAACAUUGGAUGAUGUGCA